GGGUCGUUAGCUCAGUUGGUAGAGCACCGCACUUUUAAUGCGAUGGUCGAGCGUUCGAGUCGCUCACGACCCACCA
rnacentral:tRNA from 1 species